rnacentral:sRNA from 1 species
CUUGCUAGCUUCUUCCUACUCUCAUACCUAAUAUCUCUUAGCAGUGUCCCUGAAAUUUGCUAUUCUAUCCAACACCAUGUUUGGAUAAUUUCUUUGAGCUUCAUUCCCUUAUGAAGAUCCCCAGGCAUAAGUAAAUUAAGUAAACCCCUUAUGCAUUUUUUUUUCAAAACAGCUCUCUUACUAAUUGGUUCUUGGCUUGUAUGAGGACUAAAGAAGAGAACGGAAUCUUCUUCCCUUUCAAUUGGAACUUGAGGGCAGAAUGUGAUGCUGCUUUCUUUUGCAAGAAGGGUUUCACUAUGAAUCUUCUUCACUAACUAUUAAAACCUACGUGAUACUCUGAACUCAAGUUUCUUGAAAGAAGCACCCUAUAUCUACACUGAAGAGUCUACAAAGGCUGAGAUAAAAAAGCAUUUAUUACUAGGAACAAAAAGAACACAGCACAAAUAACCAUGGAAGGAUCAGAUUAACAAUGUGGUAAGCAAGGAAGAUAAAUUUG